rnacentral:rRNA from 1 species
UACGUAGGCAGCAAGCGUUGUUCGGAGUUACUGGGCGUAAAGGGUGUGUAGGCGGUUGUUUAAGUUUGGUGUGAAAUCUCCCGCUCAACCGGGAGGGUGCGCCGAAUACUGAAUGACUAGAGUGCGGGAGAGGAAAGUGGAAUUCCUGGUGUGAGUGGUGAAAUGCGUAGAGAUCGGGAGGAACACCUGUGGCGAAGGCGGCCACC